ensembl:lncRNA
UGAAAUGGAAUUGCUGUUGCCCGUUCCUGGUUCACUGAAGGAGAUGCUCGUACUCCACGAGACCUUCAGCACAGAAAUCUCAACAACCUCCGAUCCGUGUUCUGGGAGAAAGUUGGAGGAGUUUGGGGAUUAGAUGGUGGUCAUACUGAAUGUCUUUCUUCAUCUAGCGGCAAGAGGUCUGAUACAUGAGCCUUUCGUUUGUCUUUUUAAAGGUAAAGUGUGUAUUUCAAAAAUAAUGACUGUUUUCAUACAGGUUUUAUGAAGACGUUCCCUGUG